GGGCAGAUGUCCGAGUGGCUAAAGGAGGCAGACUGUAAAUUUGCUGGCGAAAGCCUACACUGGUUCGAAUCCAGUUCUGCCCA
rnacentral:tRNA from 1 species